CUAUUGCGUUAGCGAUUGAAAUGAAAAUCCUUUUGCUUUUCGCAAAAGAUUGCAAUGGAAAGCGCGACCUGAA
rnacentral:sRNA from 1 species